AAGGGUUGAAAGAGAAGUAAAAGUGGUGUUAUUUAGAAUAGGCAGGGGAACAUGUAUUGUGGUGAGGUAGGAGGAGAAAUGGGGUAUAUUAGAAAGAGAUAUGUGAGAGACCCAAGAUGUUAUCUUUUCCUUUUCUUGGGAAUUGUUGUGUAAUGACUUAGAUGGCCAGAAUUUUUCAUGAAGAUCAGUAGAUACAGAUAGCAACUGCAGAUGCUGCAACUAUAGGUCUUUGGAGGAUUCCAGACAAGUAAGCCAUGAUGAUAUAUUUGUUUUGCCGGUGAAGAGAAAGAAGACACACCUCAGAAAUUGGGCUGCCAAUAUAGAUGAACUAUAAUGACAGCCCUACAAGCAAAGACUAUAUAG
rnacentral:lncRNA from 1 species